AUGGGAGACGAAUGUUCAAACCGAAGCCUGGACGCACGCCUCAGGGGGGUCAGGAGAGCCCGAGGCAACAGUCUGCGAAUGAGGCCAGCACCCGCGUCCCUCGGGUUUUAAAAGCACACAUGGGGCCAGAGACUGCACAGCCAACUAAACGGAGUAAACGCAACAGGUGGAGGAGGCCGAGAGAAGCCCGGAGCGAUCUGGCCAGAGUCUGAGGGAGCGCGCGGACCUGGGACUGCAAAGAGACGCUUUGAAGCGUGCUGCGCGCACCUGCUUCUCCGAGGCAUCCGACUCCACCCGAGCAUCUCCGGAGAGAGCACAGUCCACAGAUGCAGGCAGGACUGCCCCGUAAGACACGUCCUCUUCCGACCCCUCACUCUCAAAGUUGCGGAAGAGGCGGAGAGGAUGAAAAAGAAGAGAGAAAGAAGAGAAAAAAAUUUUAAAAAAUAA